CGUAGGGUGCGAGCGUUAAUCGGAAUUACUGGGCGUAAAGAGUGCGUAGGCGGAUAUGCAAGUUAGAUGUGAAAUACCUGAGCUUAACUUGGGAGGUGCAUUUAAGACUGUAUGUCUAGAGUUUGUCAGAGGAGGGUAGAAUUCCAAGUGUAGCAGUGAAAUGCGUAGAGAUUUGGAGGAAUACCGAUGGCGCAGGCAGCCCCCUGGGAUAAAACUGACGCUGUGGCACGAAAGCGUGGGUAGCAAACAGGAUUAGAUACCCUGGUAGUCCACGCCCUAAACGAUGUCUACUUGCUGUUGGGGGUAAAACCUAAGUAGCGAAGCUAACGCGAGAAGUAGACCGCCUGGGGAGUACGGUCGCAAGAUUA
rnacentral:rRNA from 1 species